rnacentral:rRNA from 1 species
AGCUCCAAUAGCGUAUAUUAAAGUUGUUGCAGUUAAAAAGCUCGUAGUUGGAUUUGUGGCAUACGGUGGGUUCCAGGCACUUGUUGUCUGAGCAACUUGCUGUUGCCAUCCUUGGGUGGAACCUGUGUGGCAUUAGGUUGUCGUGCAGGGGAUGCCCAUCGUUUACUGUGAAAAAAUUAGAGUGUUCAAAGCAGGCUUAUGCCGUUGAAUAUAUUAGCAUGGAAUAAUGAGAUAGGACUUUUUCGCUAUUUUGUUGGUUUGCGCGAUGAGGUAAUGAUUAAUAGGGACAGUUGGGGGUAUUCGUAUUCCAUUGUCAGAGGUGAAAUUCUUGGAUUUCUGGAAGACGAACUACUGCGAAAGCAUUUACCAAGGAUGUUUUCAUUAAUCAAGAACGAAAGUA